GACAGAGGGUGCAAACGUUGUUCGGAAUUACCGGGCGUAAAGCGCGUGUAGGCGGCUAAGUAAGUCGGGCGUGAAAUCCCACGGCUCAACCGUGGAAGUGCACUCGAAACUGCGUAGCUAGAGUCCUGGAGAGGAAGGUGGAAUGCUUGGUGUAGAGGUGAAAUUCGUAGAUAUCAAGCGGAACACCGGUGGCGAAGGCGGCCUUCUGGACAGUGACUGACGCUGAGACGCGAAAGCGUGGGGAGCAAACAGG
rnacentral:rRNA from 1 species